rnacentral:lncRNA from 1 species
GGUGGUGGUGGUUGUGGUCGACGGCCACUAACCCGCCCAGGAACAGGAUCUUAGUAAGAUUGUGAUCUCUUCGUACUGCUGUAAACAAAGAUUGUAAGAAGAUAUUAGUAAGAUUGAGAUCUUACUAACUAUUGUUGCAUGAGUAUUACUAAGAUCUUACUGAUUGUUGUUGAGCAUUCUGUACAACAACAACAACAUUGAUUUCAAAUUCGUUUACUGAAUUUAAAUGACGGGACUAACAGAAUUUGCUCAUGAUCAGAAACUGCUGAAAAUGCAGUGCCUACACCAUUCUAUACCAACCACACCACAAUUCAGAGAAAAAUGAAGCACAGAGCUACUCCCGACACACCACAAUUUACACAGGAUCCACCACAUUUUGGAGUAAUUUGCAGUAAGGAAUUGACAGCACUAAACAUCUUGGAAUUGACCUGCGAAGAAGAUGCCGCCGCUACCGUCGAGCUUGCAAGGGGGAGCCUUUGCUCUUGUCGUCUGGCUCGUCGCAAGGAGGAGUACAUAGUUUCAGACAAUACGUAUACCUGCGACUGGAAACGCUGCUGGACCCCAUGGAAGAACUGCUCCUCUGAUGGAGUACCUGAAAACACCCAGUUGUGUAAAGCCCAGUUCUGUACCUGAAAAUUCAGAUUGUGAAGAAUUUCCAAUCAAAGUCCAUACGAAAUUCCAAUCAAAGUACUCCAACUUAAAUGAUUCUGAAUAAAACAAGGUUCAGAACUAACAAGGUUCAGAAAUGUUGUCUCCAACUUAAAUUCAGAAUUCUACUCCUUACAGCACACCAGCGACAGAUCUUGACAUACCGGCACACCCAUCUCCUCAAGCUCCUGCACGCACAUAAUCGAUCACUUCCCCCAAUCACUACGGCAUACCGCAUCCAAGGAGUCAUACUCAGCUCGAUUUGGUACCUUCUAGAGCGACUCACCGGCGGAGCACGCCUGCUCGACGCCCUGCUUGGCGUCGGCACUCACCAAGGUCGGACCUUGACGAACAGCUCCAUGGCGUCCGUCUCCUGACGAGCAGGCGCGGAUCUGGCCGCCACCAUGGCCUGCUCGAUGGCGGACAUGGAUGGAGGCAGCAGGGAGGAGCUCACCAUGGAGAAGGAAGGAGGGCACAAGCCAUGGCGACGAGCCGACGACGAGGGACUCGAGGAAGGCGAUGACGAGGGACUCAAGGAAGGGGCAAAGCCGUUCCUUGAGCUUCGCGGGGGAGCUGUGGCGCGGCGGAAGCAGUAUUUGCAGGGUAGGGAGGAGAGAACUAGGCGGGGGAGCUGCGCGGGCGAGCUGCGGCGCGGCAGGGCGGCGCGGGGGAGCCGCGGCUCGGCGUGGGGGAGCUGCUAGGCGUCGCCGGCAAGUGGGCGAGCGACCGAGCGUGGGCGAGCUGCGCAGUCGGAGGGGAACGGGGACUGCGGGUUCUGUCGGUAUAAGAUGGAGGGGUUUUCUGCAAAAUGUAAGCUGCGACAUGAAUUUCGGGACGGAGGGAGUACUACUUAGUACAGGAUCCAAAUUAGGCACGGAUUCAACGCCGGGAGUGAUGUGGGCAUGCUCCUAUUUUGCUUUGGUGGCGACGGUGUCAGUCUGUAAUCCUCGCCCAGAAGAGGAGUGAAAGGUCAUCAGUGGUGGGCAUGGGACAGUGAGUGGGAAGGCCCUCCCAGUCAUACCAUCUUGCUCGUGUUCCCCUAUUUUAGAAAGAUAGCUCUCUCCGAUUUCAUUGAAAAGAAACCAUAGUGUCUUUGUUACAAACUACAUGAAAUAAUUUGUGGAAAACAGGAGACACCUGCUGAACCUAAACUCUCAUGACUUUUGGGCAUCCACAAACCUGAUCCUCAAAAUAUCAUGAGAAGGAAUGCUCGGGAAAACUAGGUAGCAAUUCAGACACUGCCUCUAUACCCACAGCCCUCGGAGUUUGUUUGGCAAGUAUAUACUACCUUCGAUCCAUAAUAAGUGUUUCAGUUUUGAACUAAGGUUGGACUAACCUUAGUUCAAAGCUGCGACACUUUUUUUUAAAACCCCUCCCAUAUAUUAAUUAACUUAAAAUAUUCAUACAAUCAUCCGUUACAAAUUCAGCCACGCAGGCCGGAAAACUAUUAAGAAGCACACCAUCGGACCUAUUAUCAAAGUUGAACUUCGCAAUCUCAUGCACCGCCCUAUUAGCCCUUCUGUUAAUCUUGGAUAUCUUGCAAUUUAUCAUUAUUUUGGCUAAACUCAAUGCUUCUAUCUUUAGAUCCACCAGAGGAGACCUAUCUAGAAGAUCAUUUCCAAGGAAAGAAGCCACAAAAGAACAAUCCGUUUCUAAAAUGAUGGCCUUGUGGAGAGUAAUACCAAUGUACAGCCCCGCGAGGGUCGCUUUCAGUUCCGCUUCAUCCGCGCUAUUGCACACCCCGAUAUAAUCCCAGGACGAUAUGAUAACUUCUCCAGUAUGGUUCCUGGCCACAACGCCCACACUUGCAGCCCUUAAAACCUCCACAUAACUUGCAUCAACAUUAAUCUUAAUGAACUCCGUAGAGGGAGCCUGCCAAGUCACAAAAUUCUUUCGCAUAUCAUUAGUAAAAUUUAAGCCAUCCACCCUCUCUUUACCUUUGAUGCUAAUCUCCAUCUUGACAUUGGGAUGACAGGACGAGAAGGACGUCUAGUAAUUCUGAAUGAACCUCACCAAGUCGGAGAUUUUUUUCCUUUCCCUUAUCAAAAAUCAAAUCAUUCCUUAGAUGUCAUGCCCUCCAAAACAUGAAUAUAAUUUGCUCACACACCGGCGGCCUUAUUUGAUCCAAUAAGACAAGUAACCAAUCCGGCCCCGUAAAAUUGAAAAACACUUCAUAUGGUAAAUUCCAUACCUCCCUUACCGCCAAACGUAACGCACGAGCCUUAGGACAACUUACCAGUGCAUGAAAAACAGAUUCAUCUUCUACGCCACAAAUCGAGCACAGACCAAUGGUAGUUUGGUGGUGUUUAACUCUGUUAACUUGAACCUCCAAACUGUGUGUCGCAGCACGCCAUGCAAAAAUUCUGAUUUUCUAAGGGACCUGAGCCUUCCAAAUAAUAUUCCAUAGCCUCCUUUCCCCAUUAGCAGCACCACUUGAACUCCCUAACUCAAUCAUAGAGUCCUUAAGUUUGAGCGCCAACUUAUACGCACUUUUAACUGAGAACAACCAUUUUUCUUGUAGUCCCAAGCAAUGAAAUCUCCCUCACCAACAGUCAGAACACGCAACUUUAAAAUUUCGUCAGCAUCAUGUGGAAAGAACAGAUGCCAAAUAAGAUUCUCAUCCCAUCUUGUUAAGCCACUAAUGAAUAAUUCAGACACACCUUUGAGUCUGGUUCUAUUCUUUUUUGCAGAAAUUUGAAGAGCCGNNNNNNNNNNNNNNNNNNNNNNNNNNNNNNNNNNNNNNNNNNNNNNNNNNNNNNNNNNNNNNNNNNNNNNNNNNNNNNNNNNNNNNNNNNNNNNNNNNNNNNNNNNNNNNNNNNNNNNNNNNAUAUAUAUAAAUAUAUAUAUAUAUAUAUAUAUAUAUAUAUAUAUAUAUAUAUAUAUAUAUAUAUAUAUAUAUAUAUAUAUAUAUAUAUAUAUAUAUAUAUAUAUAUAUAUAUAUAUAUAUAUAUAUAUAUAUAUAUAUAUAUAUAUAUAUAUAUAUAUAUAUAUAUAUAUAUAUAUAUAUAUAUAUAUAUAUAUAUAUAUAUUUAUAUAUAUNNNNNNNNNNNNNNNNNNNNNNNNNNNNNNNNNNNNNNNNNNNNNNNNNNNNNNNNNNNNNNNNNNNNNNNNNNNNNNNNNNNNNNNNNNNNNNNNNNNNNNNNNNNNNNNNNNNNNNNNNNNNNNNNNNNNNNNNNNNNNNNNNNNNNNNNNNNNNNNNNNAUAUAUUUGCACCGUCGCGAACUCUCCAAAUGACCCCCUUUUUCAGCAGCUCAAGACCAUGCAUAAUACCUUGCCAAGUAUUCGAUGUCACAUGAGGGAAUAUAGUGUCUAGCAAAUGCCCAUGAGGAAAAUACUUUGCUUUCAUCACCUUUGCACAUAACGAGUCCGGAAAAACCAAUAAACGCCAAGCCUGUUUCGCCAAAAGCGCUUGAUUAAAUAAUCUCAAAUCUCUAAAGCCCAUACCUCCUUCUCCUUUGGGUCUUGUCAACUUAUCCCACGCCAGCCAAUGAGUUUUCUUCCUAUCCUCCUGGUCACCCCACCAAAAAUUACUAAUGAUUUGGGAUAACUCUUCACAAAUAGAAGCAGGAAAUUUAAAAAUACCCAUGGCAUAGACCGGAAGAGACUGAAUGACUGACUUAAUCUGGAGCUCCUCACACUGCUAGAAGCAUAUUUUUCUAUCCAUUCUGAAACCCGCUUAAGCGCUUUAUCUUUUGUAGAUUGGAAUUUACCAGCCUUCAUCGGCCCUUCCGACACAGGUAAACCAAGAUAUUUAUCCUCAAAACCAUCAGAAGUGAUUUUGAGAACCACCAAGAUAGAAACUUGAUCUUCCAGGCUACACUUUUUACUAAACAAAAUGGAGCAUUUAUCCGGGAUUAACAAUUGACCCGUCCCCUCCUCAUAAGCUGCCAAAAUCCGUUUAAUGACCAGAGCCUGCUCCAAAGAACCCUUUGUAAGUGCAUCUAGUGCCCCUUAGUGAUUUUGGUGUAUUGAAGACUUAUAGGUUAAGGGACUAAUGCGUUUGUGAGUGUACACAGGUCUAUAAGUCUAUGAGGAGUUUGAUAUUUACAAAGAAAGUCGACCCCUAAAAAUGUAUAUCUUCGACUGAAGAUUUUGGUAUUCCUGAAGACAUUCAUGAAGACUUUGAAAGUGAAGAAAUUGGUGUGUCCGUGAAGAGUUGAUAUUCAUGCGAGGAAUAUGAAGCUUGAAGACUUCAUUUUCAUAGUUUUGUUUUUCUCUUUCUUGAGUCAUAGGAAACACCGUACUGUUAAAGAGGAUCGAGGAAAUACUAAGGAAAAAUUUCCAUGUGAUGCUCAACUCAAAAUCCUACACCUACCAAUCCCUUCGAGUGAAGCCAUUGGAAAUCUCAUACAGUUCAGUCACUUUCUUCAGUUACAGAGACGAAGUUCUUCUGGUCACUGAGGAAUUUGUUCUGACUAAGGAGUUAGGAAUUCGCCAGUGCGGAUUGUCUACACAGUGAGGAACAAGAUAGCCCUGAGGAAUUUGAGAGUCAAAUUUCCGCCCGUUGCUGUGCUGCGCGCCAGCUAUCCCAAAAUAUCGUAUCCACCUAACGGUCAUAUCAGACAAGGGCAUUUAUGUCUUAUUAUGUCGGGCUGCUCCCCAGGCUAUAAAUAGCCGCCCCCUACAACCACUAGCUGGUUGGCUGCUCCGAGAGAAACUGGCACUUGUCAUUUGAGAGAAACCCAUCCUCCGAGGACUUUGAGCGAAAAUCAUCUAGUGAGGAAAAUUCCAAACCCAAACACCUACAAACCGCAAAGUGAUUGAGCAUCACUGAAGAGAUUGAUCCUGCGUGGAUCUGACGCUUGUUACCUUUGAAGACUGUGCUUCUUCCAGACGGUUAGGUGUCAUGGUCUAGAGCAUCCAAGAGGAAUUGUGGAUCACCGAGUGACCGAGUCUGUGAAGGUUUGGAAGUCGCCUGAAGACUUACCACGAGUGAUUGGACGAGGUCUGUGUGACCUUAGUUCAAGGAGAAUACAGUGAGGACUUGGUGUCCUGAGCUGCGUGCUCAGCGACUAGGUGUCCGGGACUGUGUGUCCUCGAGUUUAAAUACUCAGCCGCUCCAACCAGACGUACAACUGAGACAGCAGUUGGAACUGGUCUACCAAAUCAUUGUCUUCAUCAACCUAACUGGUUUUAUUUCCUCAACUCUUUCAUUUCCUCAUUACUGUGUUGAGUGAUUGUUCAUAUUUGUGUUUGAAGACUUUGACUGAAGCCUUUCUCAAUUUCCUCAGUUCAAUUUCUUCAGUCUAAUUGUCUUCAUCUUGUGUUAUCCUGUGUUUACGCUUUUUGUACUCUAAGCUUGUCUUCAUUUCAUCAUGAUGACUAUGUAUGUAUCCUGCUAUGCUUACUUCUGAGUACUUAUUCCGCUGCAAAUAGUUCUUCGCUUAGGAAUUUCCUCACCGGAAAAUUCCUCAGUGAAGAAUUCAUAAAAAUCGCCUAUUCACCCCCCCUCUAGUCGAUAUAACGCACUUUCAAUUGGUAUCAGAGCAAGGUACUCCCUUGUUCUGUGUGAUUUUGUUUUAACCACCUAGAGUUCUAGUUAUGUCGACCGCAUGUAUGAUCAAGGUCUCCGUUGGGUGUCCUACCUUCGAUGGCAUGGACUACCCCUACUGGAAGAAUAAGAUGCGAAUGCAUCUUGAAGCAAUUGACAACGAUCUCUGGUACGUUGUGGAAAAUGGUGUUCCCUUAGUCACACCUUCCCUGAAUGUUGCUGAUGUGAAGAGAUUAAAGCAACUCGAUUCUCAAGCGAAGAAUAUCAUAUGUGGUCAUCUGAGUAAAGGGCAGUACGGUAGAGUGAGUGCUUUGGAAACUGCUAAGCUUAUCUGGGAUAGGCUCUCCAAAGUAAACGAAGGAGUCUCAACUCAACGUGACUCUCGUGUUGACGUUCUUCGCAAUCUCUUCAACCGCUUCAAAAGACUCGACAAUGAAAAUGUUCAGCAAACCUUCGAUCGCCUCACUGACAUCUCAAAUGAGCUUCAAGCGCUUGGUGCCACUGACAUCACCGACCAUGAGGUGGUGAAGAAAUUGCUGAGAUCGCUAGAUUCCUCAUUUGAUACUCUGGCACUGAUGAUACAAGAGCGUGCUGAUUACAAGUCACUAGAUCCCGCUGAUAUCCUCGCGAGGCUAAAUAGUCAUGAGUUCCAGCUUGCUGAAAAGAGAGAUCUCUAUGGUUGAAGCUAUGGCAAAACACGUACCCUGAAGGCCAAGGCUAUGUCUAAAUCUUAAUGUGAAGACUCUGGUAGUAGCCUUGGUGAUCCUGAAGAAUUGAGCCAGGAGCUAGCACUGCUCGUGAAGAAGUUCCAGAAGUUCUCAAGACGUGGUCGCUUUGGAAAAACCUCAAGGAGCAGUGAUUCCUCAUCAAGUGACUAUAAGAGAAGGCUAUGCCACAAAUGCAAGAAGCCUGGUCACUACAUUCAAGAUUGUCCUCAGUGGGACAAGGAAUUAAAGAAGAAGAAAUACAAGGAUUACAGUUCUGAUGAUGCCAAGAAGAAGAAGAAAUCUUCAAAGUCUUCAUCAUCAAAAUCCUCAAAGUCUUCAUCUCACAAGAAGAGCAGCUCCAAGAAGGCUCGGGCAUUCAUUGGCAAGGAAAUGGACUCUGAAGCUGAAUCUGAGGAACAUGAGGAAGAGGAGGCAUCCGAGGAGUCUGAGUCAGGUGUGGCAAGUCUAGCUCUUGCUACCGCAUUUGUCAGCAAGUCUAUCUUCAACUCUGAAGAAAAUGGUAACACCAACAACGCUGAUGAAGAUAAUGAUGACUACGCUCCCACCUAUUGCUUCAUGGCAAAGGGUGCCAAGGUAACUAAAUACCCCUCCUCUGAAUCUAGUGAGGAUGAAUCUGAUGAAAAUCUUAAGCCUAGAUACUCUAAACUUGCUAAGAUUGUUGUGAAACAACAAAAGGCUAUUGAAAAACUUCAAAACAUGAUAGACAAAAGUGAUGAUAUGUUGGGUGAUGAAAUGGACCGCACUAAAGACUUAACAGAAAAUCUUUAGAGACUUCAGUCUAAGUUUGACAACCUUCAAAGUCAUCAUAACACUCUCUUAUCUGAUCACAAGAAGCUUUCUUAUGAAUUUCUUCAAAGAAAGCAAAAUCUUGAGAAGCUAAGAGUGAGUUAUGAAGAUCUUCAGAAGGAUCGCGAUUCAUUACUUGCUCAACAAAUCAGCGCUACUCAGGAAGAAUUUGUUCCUCCAUGCUUAAAGUGCAUUGAAAGUGAAUCUGGUAAUUCUUCACCUGAAUGUUAAAAUGCUUCAACUGUUACAAAUCCUUCAUCUGCCUCUACUAUCACUAAUUCCUCAUCUGAGGACAUUGCUAGUAUCACUGACAAUGCAGGGCUGAAGGAAUUGUACACAACAGGCAUGUACAAAAGCCUCAAAGGGCAUCAGAUUCUUUGUGAUGUGCUCAAAAAGCAGAUCCUCAGCAGAAACCCUAGGAAAGUGGGUAUUGCCUUUGAGAGGAAACUCAAUGCUGAUGGAACAUAUUGGAAGCCUGAGCAGUACCCCAAAACCUCAUGGGUUGCUGCAAAGGGACCUCCAGUUGAUCCAUCUAACUUAUCAGGCUUUACAUGUGAAUCUCCUCAUUCUUCUGAUGAGUCAUUUGACUCCAACUAUAAACUGUUCAAAAAUCAGAAUGGUGAAGUAUUUGCUAGAUAUGUUGGCACUAACUGCAGGAACGGUUCCCCUAUGAAGAAAAUCUGGGUUCCCAAAAGUUAUGUUGAAAGUCUUCAGGUGAAUGUCCUCAUGACACCACCUGUGAAGAACAGGAACCCCAGAUAAAACUCUUCAUAUGGACCAAAUUCUUCAUAUGGAUCCAAGUCCUCAUACGGACCAAAUUCCUCACGUGGAUCAAAUUCCUCAAAUGGAUCAAAGUCCUCAUAUGAUCAUCAUCGUGCUAACAACUCUGUUUCGCAGGGUAGAGCUAAGGGCUAUGAAUAUGCGCAUUAUUCUUCAAAUCAUUAUGUUCAUAAGUCCUCGAGGAAUUUCUCUGCUUAUUCAUAUGCUUACCCUAACCCCUCUUAUGUGAAACAAAAUGGAUUGGCCUCUAUGCCACCUUUCUCAUAUGGUGCUCCCAGAGUGAUGAACUUUUGCCACCCCUUCAGAUGUGAGUGGUGAAGAAAAAGAACUAAUUUCUUCUGCAGGGUCAGGUCUCCAGACGUGCUUUAACGUCUGAUGAAUUUGCUGGGGGCCUAACAAAAAUGCCUGAAAGGACGCAGGCGAAUCAUGAUGAAAUGAACUUUCAUUUCACAUGUCCUCACACUACUUAUCUGUGCUAUUGCUUGAUGAAAUUGAGCUGAUGAAUUUGAUGUCAUAUUCUUCACUGAUGAAGUAUAUGGGUUCGUAAGAUGCACUAAUUCAUCUGCAGGAUGAUCAGCCCAAAGCAAACGAGUGGGUCCUCUAUAGUGGAUGUACAAAUCACAUGACUGGUGACAAGAACCUAUUGAUGGAUGCUCCCUUAUCACCAUCACAUCUGAAGCACAUCAUCUUCGCUGACAAAGGCAAAAGUCAGGUAUUGGGUCUAGGUAAGGUUGCGAUCUCAAAGGAUCGACACAUGGACAAAGUCAUGCUUGUCGAGUCCUUAGGAUACAACCUCAUGUCUGUCUCAAUGCUUUGUGGUCUCGAUAUGGUUGUUAUCUUUGGAAGAUAUCGUUGUGUUGUGAUCAUGGAAGCUGACCAUUCCAAAGUCUUCGAAGGCUUUAGGAGAGGAGAUCUGUAUAUUGUUGAUUUCUCUACAGGACCACAACCAGCCGUGUGCUUACUGGCAAAAGCUUCAGAAGGCUAGCUAUGGCAUCGACGACUUGGUCAUGCUGGCAUGAUGAAUCUGAACACACUUGCAAAGAAGAAGCAUGUCAUUGGCAUUGAGAAUGUCAAAUUCCUCAAGGAUCACUUAUGCGGAGCUUGUGAAGCUGGAAAGAUGACAAAGGCCAAGCAUCCAGCGAAGACUAUCAUGACCACUACUCGUACAUUCGAAUUGCUUCACAUGGAUCUCUUUGGUCCUAAUCAUUAUUCUGCUGUUUCAAAUGAUGCAUCUCUAUAUGGCUUUGUUAUUGUUGAUGACUAUUCUCGUUACACAUGGGUACACAUUGUUACUUACAAACAUGAAGUGCAGGAAAUCUUCAAAUGAUUUUCCUCGAGGGCUUCAACCAACUUUGGUGUGAAGAUCAAGCACAUCAGAACUGACAAUGGGACUGAGUUCAAGAAUACCGGUCUUGAUGGCUAUCUUGAUGAACUUGGUAUUACUCAUGAGUUAUCCGCUCCUUAUACUCCUCAGCAGAAUGGCGUUGUGGAGCGCAAGAACAGAACCCUCGCUGAAAUGGCUCGCACUAUGCUUGAUGAAUACAAGACGCCUCGUCGUUUCUGGAUUGAGGCAAUUGAUACUGCGUGCCACGUCAUCAUUCGGGUAUGUCUUCACAAAUUCUUCAAGAAGACUGCCUAUGAACUCCUCACUGAUAAGAAACUCAAUGUGAGUUAUUUCAAAGUCUUCGGUGCUAAAUGUUGGAUUAGAGAUCCUCAUCACAAUUCUAAAUUUGCACCGAAAGCACAUGAAGGUUUUAUGCUUGGUUACGGAAAGGACUCGCACACCUACAGAGUCUUCAAUAACGUUCUUCACAAGGUUGUUGAAACUGUAGAUGUGCGGUUCGAUGAAACUAAUGGCUCGCAAAGAGAGCACCUACCUUCUGUGAUAGAUGAACCAGCACCUGAGGAUUCUAUCAAGUUCAAGGCUACUGAGGAUGUCAUUCUUACCGAAGAAUGUACUGAAGAAUUCAUUCCAGAACGCGAAGAUCGUCGAGCUAAUGCACCUGAAGACAAUGCUGAAGAAAAUGGUGCUGGAGAAAAUGGUGAUCAAGUUCCUCGACGACAACCAGCUCAUCCUCGCGUUGCAAAAUAAGUGCAAGUUGAAUUGAUCAUCGAUGACAUUGAAGCACCAGGUCCUCUCACCCGCUCAAAAGCUUCACAUUUAUCUAACUUUUGUGGGCACUAUGCUUUUGUCUCUAUCACAGAGCCCACUAAGGUAGAUGAAGCAUUUCUAGAGCCUGAGUGGAUUCAGGCCAUGCAAGAAGAAUUACAUCAGUUUGAGCUCAACAAUGUCUGGGAACUGGUCAAACGUCCAGAUCCUCGCAAGCAUAAUAUCAUUGGCACAAAGUGGAUCUACUGCAACAAGCAAGAUGAAAAUGGCCUUGUGGUGAGGAAUAAGGCACGACUUGUAGCUCAAGGCUACACAUAGGUUGAAGGAAUUGAUUUCGAUGAAACUUUUGCACCUGUUGCUAGAGUUGAGCCUAUUCGCAUAUUACUUGCUUAUGCUAACCAUCAUAAUAUCACUUUAUAUCAAAUGGAUGUGAAAAGUGCAUUCCUCAAUGGUAAGCUUGAGGAAGAAGUAUAUGUUGCUCAACCCCCAGGUUUUGAAGAUCCAAAGAAUCCUGACAAAGUCUUCAGACUCAACAAGGCCCUCUAUGGCCUCAAGCAAGCCCCUCGGGCGUGGUAUGAUACUUUGAAGGAAUUCUUCAUGAAGAAUGGCUUCACACCCGGUUCACUCGACCCUACUCUCUUUACUAAAUCUUAUGAUGGUGAAUUGUUUGUUUGCCAAAUAUACGUUGAUGAUAUUAUUUUUGGCUGUACUGACCAACGUUAUAGUGAUGAAUUUGCCUAUAUGAUGAGUGAAGAAUAUCAAAUGUCUAUGAUGGGAGAGUUGAAAUUCUUCUUAGGUCUUCAAAUUCGUCAACAACACAAUGGCAUAUUCAUAUCUCAGGAGAAAUACCUCAAGGAUGUUCUGAGGAAAUUCGGCAUGCAAGAUUGCAAAGGCGUCAAAAUUCCUAUGCCCACAAAUGGCCAUCUAUGCACCGAUGAAAAUGGUAUUGACUUCGAUCACAAGGUAUACGGCUCCAUGAUUGGUUCUUUAUUGUACUUAUGUGCAUCUAGGCCAGAUAUAAUGCUUAGUGUUUGCAUGUGUGCCCAAUUUCAAGCUGCACCGAAGGAAUCACACCAUAAGGCUGUGAAGCAUAUUCUUCGAUAUCUAGCUCACACACCAACACUAGAUUAUGGUACCCCAAGGGCUCAACUUUUGAUCUCAUUGGAUAUUCUGACUCUGACUAUGCUGGUGAUCGUGUGGACCGCAAGUCAACAUCUGGUACUUGUCAUUUCCUCGGACGAUCUUUGGUCUAUUGGUCCUCGAAGAAACCGAACUGCGUAUCACUGUCUACUGCAGAGGCUGAGUACAUUGCUGCUAGUUCUUGCUGUGCUCAAUUGCUAUGGAUGAAGCAAACCCUCAAGGACUAUGGCGUCAACGUGAAGAAUGUGCCUCUCCUCUAUGACAAUGAGAGUGCCAUCAAGAUUGCUCACAACCCAGUUCAACACUCGAAGACAAAGCACAUUCAAAUUCGUCAUCAUUUUCUUCGUGAUCAUGUGUUGAAGGGCGACAUCUCCAUCGAGCACGUGAAGACUGAAGAACAGCUAGCUGAUAUCUUCACAAAGCCCUUGGAUGAGAAGAGAUUUAGCAAGUUGCGGUGUGAGCUAAAUAUCUUAGAAUCUUCGAAUGUUCUUUGAAAAGGACACACAUCCUGACACUUAUGCAAAAUUGAUGACUUAGAUGUGCAACACAUGAAGAAACGUUUUUCUUCAAUCAAUGAAGAAUAACACUCUAAGUGUGAAGAAAUUAAUGAAGAAUUUGAUUCUCAGAACCCUACGACAAUUGUACGCGGUGUCUGAAAUCGUCAUUCUUAUACGGUGGGUCACGCCACCACCAAAGUUGAAAAUCUUCAUUUUUGAAAUUCCUCAGUUUUGAAAUUCUUCAGUUUUUCAAAUUCUCCAGCUUUGCAAAAUCUUCGCUAUUUCCGUCGUAUUUCUUCAUUGGCUAUAUAUAUAUGGGUUUAUGUCCUCUACAACAUUCACUUAUGGCUAUUUCUUCAAGUUGCAUUUUCUGCUAAGUAAAUGUGAUCGGACCCUUCCCCCUCUAUGCUAUACUCAACCCAAUCUAUUCACAAAUUCUUCUUGUGCGUUAUAUUUGAAACUCGUUCAAAAUCUUCACAGUGUCCUUGACAGCUGAAGAAUUUGCGAACGGAACUUUAAAACUAAUCUUAUCCAAAUUUUCGGCUUUACCGCUCAAACCGUCUCGUAUCCCACGAUAGACUUAUCUAUUCACCCACGAUCUAACACGAUCUCCACUUCUCAGUACGUGGGUGACACAUGUCAUGCGGAUGAGAAGGGUCAGGGGCAUGUUCGUCCUAAAUCUUCGGGCAAACAGUUUUCACUGCGACUAUAAAUACCCCCUCUCCCCUUCCUCACUUCCUUUACUCCGCUCGACCUCUCUCUCUCUCUCGCUCAAGCUUCUCAAACCCUAGCGCCACCGCUACUCCAUCGUCGCCGGUGAGGAAGAGCUUCACUGUCGCGACCUCGUCGCCGUCGUACUCACGCCGGCCGCGGAAAUCUUCACUCCGCCGCCGCCGUAGCUGUCUUCCUCCGCCGAGUUAGGGCGUGGAAGAUCUACACCGACGAACUUCACUGUUCUACUUCACAGUUCGUCGUGUUCUUCAUCCAUGGUAAUUAAAAGUUACUUUUACUACCCUCUUUGAUUCAAAUUUUCUCUACAAAAUCUUCAAAGGUGUUUUAUUCUUCAAAUCCUCACACACAAAACACCUCACUAGUCAUCUGUUCUUGAUUCGUUUCUCUAAGCAUCAUUUUUCUUCAAGAUUCCUCAAUUGUGUGGAUCCUCGAUCUAUACAACUCUGGAACCUAAGACAAAGAACGCUUAGUGAAAUUCUUCAAGGCUCAUCUGGUCAAAUUCCUCAAACUUGUUCUUUUUGUAAAACCUUCUGAGAAUGCAUAUGACCUCUCCAAAUUCCUCGCAACUAUACUCUGUUCACAGGUACUCAUGUCCGCUGCUGAAUCACUAGGUUCUCAUCAACUUAACUCAUUUGCAGCGUUCCUCGAAGAAAAGUUGCAUACUUCUUCAGAAAAUUCGAUUGUUCAAAUUCCUCAUCCGAAGAAUAUGGCAGAUGGUAAGAAACCACAGAAAGGAGGAAAGAAGCCUGAGGUCAUGACUGCUUUUGAAAUACCUGAGGCAAUCUAUGCUGAUUAUUGCACACCUGAUGAGGCUAAGUACGGAAAAGAAAAAGAAAAAUCAGCGCAAGGUGCGCAUAUAGAAGAUUGAAAGGAGAUGGGUAAGAGAAUGGAGGGAGUACAGAUAUGUAACUCCGAAGUAUAUGAAGAAAUUCGCACUAAAUCCUCCAUGCCCAAGAGCUCCAUUGGCACCUGGCCAAGAAGCUAACCCCACCAGCAUCAAGCGUGGUGAGGAUUUUCCUGAAGAAUGGGCCAAGCGCUAAGCCAAGUUGGCGAGACAAGCCAAAGAAGCAGUGAGGAAAUUCAAUGAAGACUCUGCUGCUGCUGCCACUGAGGCCUCUGUCAAGCCUCGCAAAUCAAUGGCAAAGAAGCCCGCUCACAAGCCAAGUGCUUCACCACCUAUGCCCUCACGGCCAAGUUCCUCAGCAAUGCCCUCACGGCCAGAAUCUUCAAAGCCCUCACGGCCAGUUACUCAUGCUGCUCCUGCUCCUCCAAAAUCCUCAGCUCCUCCUCCAAAGUCCUCGGCUGCUCCAGCAAAGUCCUCAACACCUAUACAUCUGGCCACGUGCCAAAGGACAACAUGCAUCUCUAUUGCCUCUGGUGCCUCAGCAAGUUCCUCAGCUACACCAAAGUCUUCAUCAGGCCCCACUCUGCUAAAGACAAAGGCAACAGCUGAUCGAGGUCCUCGGCCUAGUCCGAAGAAGAAACGGGUUGCCUUCCAAGUGCCAUAUGACGAUGGAGCUGAUGAUGAUGAACUUGCAGAAAUCAUCAAAGACCGACAAGAAAAGACCGCUAGAGCCAAAGGCACAAAUGUGCCACUGCUUUUGGAUCCAAGGGCGAUCCUUGAUUACAUUGAUCUCUGGCACAACGAUCCAAAUACUCCUAUGCCUGAUUUCAAUUUGACUCCUGGUCAAAGUCACAUGCUAACCCAUUUCAUUACUGAAGAAAAAUGGAAAUUUGAGAAGGCCAGGCAGAUCAAGAAGGCUUAGUUCAGAAAGGAGAAGUUCCUGAAGAAAUACGUUGUCAAUAUGAUAACUGAUGAACUCCUCAAGAUUCAAGCUAAAAUCAAAGCCCUCAACAAUGAUUUCAAUGCUUACUAUGCUGAUUGGCAAGGAGCCAAAGUCAGGUUUGUGAAACUGACUGAGAAGUUCACCAAUGUUGCAGCCCCAUCGCAACAAGAAAUUCCUCAAGCUGAAGCAUCUUCUCAGCCAACUGAAGAACAUGCCAGCACCACUGAUGAUUUUCAGGCUGCUGAUAAAAAUGCUAGUUCCAGGGCUGAUGACUCCAUUCCAGCCACUGAAGAAAUUGCCAGGGCAUCCACUAGUGGUGCGCCUGAAGAAACUGAAGAAGUCAGGGCAACUGCAUCAGUUGCGCCUGUCGAAAAUCAACCAGAUUCCUCAGCUCCUCCUGCGCCUACACCAACUCCGAUCCUUCCAUCUGCAUUGUAUGUGAAGAAGACCAAGGCUGCAGAGCGAGCUGCAGUGAAGAAAAGGGAAGCAUCAAGUGCUUCAGAAUUUUCAGCUCCGAAGAAGAUGAAGCCUCUGACAAGCUCGAUUGAAAAUCCAAUUGAUGUUGUUUCGAUUUCCACCAUGCCAUCAAAGGACCUUGUUCCUUAUGGUGAAGAAUAUGUGAUCCCAAGCGGAUCCGAUGAAGAAAAUCAUUCUGCUGCUUCGUCAGAGCAGAUUGAUGAAGAAAUUGAAGUGGAUGCGAUCCCUUCAACACCUGUUGCUUCCUCGCCAAUGCCUCAGUUCAUAGCUGAAGAGGCUGGCGUUUAAGAAAUUGAAGAUGAAGAUGUGGACAUUGGCUGCACAAUGCCCGUGAUGAAUGAUGACUUUUGGGAAAGUCAGCACCCCAAUUCUCCACUCUUCACUCCAAUUCAACAAAUACCUCAGUCCCCUGCACCAACCGUUCAAAUGGGCUCUAAAGAAACUCAUCCAACCUCGUCUGUGCAUGAAGACAUUCCAGCCGCUAGUGCUGAAGAAACUGUUGUUGCUGAUCCUUUGAACACGCAGAUUGCCACUGAAGAGGAACCAGAAAUUCCUCAGCCUGAAGAACCUGAGAUUGCAUUCCUGAGGUUGUGAUGCAAAUCACUAACACUCCUCUGCCCAAGCCAAAGGAUCCAUUCUCAAAGAAGCAAAAAUUCAAGGCUGAAGAUUUCUUCAACGAACAUGUGUUCUUCACUGAUUACAACCCCUAUGACUCUGCUCGCAUAAGGAAGAGGCGUUUCUGGACUGCUAGUCAAGCCAAUUUCUAUUCCUCAGUACUGUUCAACAAAGACAAAGUCUUCGAUCAUGAACAUAUUCCUCAUGUGGACAUGGAGUCUCUGCCGUGCUUCGAGCCAGUCCUAUGUGUUCUUCAUGAUGCUGGAUUGCUAAAUUUCUGCACUGACAUCUGUGACUGGAAUGAAGAACUCAUUAUUCAAUUCUAUGCGACGCUACACAUCACAGGAAAUUCUAAAGAUGUGAAUUCAUGGGUACUGGACUGGAUGUCCGAAAAUACUCACUACAAGGCACCAACUACUGAAUUGCUUCGUGUCUUACCACUCAGUCCUCCCCUUGACGGUGCACGUUGCAUCUACAGUGAACCUGAGCUUUCAAAUAAUUACAUGCAAGUGUUGAUGAAGCCUUUGAAGCCAGGGCAGGCUCCUCGAACCAAAUUCCUCGUCAAGGAAUUACUAUAUGUACCUCGGACUGUCUAUCGCAUUCUGACGAAGACAAUGAGUCCUAUCAAAGGCCACGACUCAAAUGAUGAAGAAGUCGUUGGCAUCAUGAAGAAUAUGCUUUUCAAUAUCAUUCAUGGUGUUGCCGUCAACUUCCAUGAUUUCUUCAUGAGGACUCUGGCGAAUAUUGCUAUGUCACCAUUUGAGCUGAAGCCUUAUGCACCAUGGAUUAUCAGAUUCAUCAGGACAAGGUCUUCACUCAAUUACAAGGCUGAUACUCUGAACCAUGGCAGCUUCUUGCCUCCAAUUGAAGUCCUCAAACAGACAUAUUCCUCAGCUGAUGACAAAGGCAAGGCAACUGUUGUGAUAGAUGAAGGCAUUCGUCCAUUGGAUGGUCAAUUCCGUAAGGCUGCAUCCUACUCCACCAAUGAUGACUCUGCCACACAUGAUUCUGCCGCUAAGCAAAAUCCUCAAGCCACAUCUCCCAGGGUGAUGACUGAUCGUGAGUUACUCCUCAGUCUUCAUCAAAAGGUUGAUCGCAAUCAUAAAUGGGUCAAGCGUCAGUUUGGUUCAAUUCUUCACAACAUGACAUCAACACACAAUGCAGUGAAGAAAAACCACUACUACCUCCAUGAAACCUUCAACCGUACCUGGGCCGUUCUAUCUCAUGUCUACAGUGCUGCAGAUCUAAAGAAUAUGGGUCUCAAGGAAGAAUUUGAAUGGUCUGCACCUCCACCGAAGAAAUUCAAGAAGGUCAAGGUUCCUUCCUUGAUGGCCAGCUCCUAUUCUUCAUCGCGCGACACUGAUGAAAAUGAAGACUUGGACGACACUACAUCAGACACUACUAUGACAACCAACCCCGACAACGCUGAUGCUCCUCCAUCAACUUGAUAUUCUUCAGGGGCAUUAGUCCUCAGUUUCGACCCUUUUGGUCAUUCGAUGACAAAGGGGGAUAAACUUGAGUUAGUCUUCAAGCGGGUCUAUUAUAUGGGUGGUUUUUGCUAAGUUACAACUCUCGUUCUUCUGAAACUUUAUUGGAUCGAGUUGUAAACAUAAACCCGAUGGUGCUCUAAUACUUUUGAUGCACUAUGCUCUAAUACUCUUGAUGCGUUAUUCUGCAUGCUUGUUCCUCAUUAAUAUUAUUGCACGCAUGCUGAAUUUCAUCAGGCACCAUAUUUCAUCUUGCAUUUCAAAUUCUUCAUAAUAUAUGUCAAAUGCAUGAAUGAAUUACAAGAUAUAGGGGGAGAUCUCCAUGAUUCAACUCUUCAAGUGUGCAUUGCUUCAAAAGCAAAUUCCUCACUAUGCACAUCUUCAGGGGGAGUUCUUCUAUAUCUUGCAAUCAAAUUCCUCAAUAUCAGUACUUAAACUUCAUAUGUUUAUCCCCGUUGAAAACUUAACCUAUAUUGUCGUCAAUCACCAAAAAGGGGGAGAUUGUAAGUGCAUCUAGUGCCCCUUAGUGAUUUUGGUGUAUUGAAGACUUAUAGGUUAAGGGACUAAUGCGUUUGUGAGUGUACACAGGUCUAUAAGUCUACGAGGAGUUUGAUAUUUACAGAGAAAGUCGACCCCUAAAAAUGUAUAUCUUCAACUGAAGAUUUUGGUAUUCCUGAAGACUUUCAUGAAGACUUUGAAAGUGAAGAAAUUGGUGUGUCCGUGAAGACUUGAUAUUCAUGUGAGGAAUAUGAAGCUUGAAGACUUCGUUUUCAUAGUUUUGUUUUUCUCUUUCUUGAGUCAUAGGAAACACCGUACUGUUAAAGGGGGUCGAGGAAAUCCUAAGGAAAAAUUUCCAUGUGAUGCUCAACUCAAAAUCCUACACCUACCAAUCCCUUCGAGUGAAGCCAUUGGACAUCUCAUACAGUUCAGUCACUUUCUUUAGUGACAGAGACGAAGUUCUUCUGGUCGCUGAGGAAUUUGUUCUGACUGAGGAGUUAGGAAUUCGCCAGUGCGGAUUGCCUACACAGUGAGGAACAUGAUAGCCCUAAGGAAUUUGAGAGUCAAAUUUCCGACCGUUGAUGUGCUGCGCACCAGCUAUCCCAAAAUAUCUUAUCCACCUAACGGUCAUAUCAAACAAGGUGUAAGUGCAUCUAGUGCCACCCCUAGUUGGUUUUGGAGUAUUGACGACAAAGUUGGUUGAGGGACUAAUGCGUUUGUGAGAAUUGCAGGAUAACGCAGGUAGUGUCUCUCAUUGAUUCGGUUUACCUACCGGAGAUGACCCCUAAAAUGUAUGAAGACAUUGAAGACAAUGGUGGUAUGUGAAGAUAUUCACAUUGAAGACUAUGACAUGAGAAGACAUUGAGCGAAGACUAUGGAGUGCGAAGACUGUGUUGUUUCGUUGUUUCCUUUUCUUCUGUGUUGAGUCAUAGGAACCACCGUACUGUUAAGUGGGGUCCAAGUGAACAAAGUCAGAGUGACUAAAGUGAUGCUCAACCCAAAUCCUAUGUCUUCGAGUGAAGACAAUGAGAGCAAAUCUUAUCCAGAGCUGUAUGAGUCAGCUUUGCUUGUAGCCCAAGUAAAGUUGCCGUGUGUGUUUGAAAUCUGACCAUUGGAACACGUGUCAGUUCCUUAGUGACCCAGGGUCAUUUCGGACAUAUCAGGUCGGGUUGCCUUGUGGCUAUAAAUAUCCCACCCCCUACACCAUAAAUUGGUGGCUGCUCAGAGUUAGUUUACGGCUUUUGUCAUUUUGAGAGCAACCCACCUCGAAGCCUUUGAGAGAGAAAUCCUUGCGAGGACAAAGCCCAAACACCCAGAGCCAAAGAGUGUUAGGCAUCACUGAAGUCUUUCUAUCUGUGUGACCUGAAGACUUAUUACACUUGAGGACUGUGUAUCCUCUAGCCGGUUAGGUGUCGCGUUCUGAGCAUCCAAGAAUCAUUGUGGAUCAUCGAUGAACGAAGUCUGUGAAGGUUUGGAAGUCUACCUUGAAGACUUACCAGAGUGAUUGGGCGAGGACUGUGUGUCCUUAGCUCAAGGGGAAUAAGGUGAAGACGCGGUCUUCUGAGUUGAAUCUCAGCCUCCCUAACCAGACGUACAGUUGUCACAGCAACUGGAAUUGGUCCAACAAAUCCUGUGUCUUCAACAAGUGACUGGUUCUAUCCCUUCCCUCCCUUUACUUUGAGUUUGUCUUCGUGAAGUCAUUGCUUAUUUGUCUUAUCUAUUUGACUUCAUUGCUUGACUACUAUCGUUGAUUGGCUUCAUACUAUCUUCCAUCCUGAUCCUUACUACCUAGCUGCUAUUAGUCUUGUACGUUCACAUUAUUGCAUACUUGACUAUGGCUUGCUUGUUGUAGUUUAUCUUCCGCUGCAUAUCAAUUAUGUCAUUUCUAUUGUUUGUCUUUGAAACUUCCACGUUUUGAAGACUUCGAUAAAAAUUGCCUAUUCACCCCCCCCCCCUCUAGUCAAUAACUAGCACUUUCAAUUGGUAUCAGAGCAAGGUACUCCCUUGUUCUGUGUGAUUCGGUUUAACCACCUAGAGUUUAGCUAUGUCGACUGCAGGGAUAAUCAAAGUCUCCGCUGCUUGUCCCAUGUUCGAUGGAACUGAAUAUCCCUACUAGAAGAAUAAGAUGCGCAUGCAUCUUGAAGCCAUUGAUGUCGACCUCUGGUAUGUCGUCAAGUACGGCGUUCCCAAAACUGGUGAAGGUGUCACCCCUACUGAUGUCAAGAAGUUCAUUCAACUGGACUCCACUGCAAAGAACAUCAUCUGUGGUCAUCUGACCAAAGGACAGUAUGGCCGUGUGAGUGCUCUGGAAACGUCAAAGCUAGUCUGGGACUGGCUAUCCAAGGUCAAUGAAGGCGUCUCUACACAGAGAGACCAGAGGAUCAGUGUUCUUCGCAAUCUCUAAAACCGCUUCAAGAGAAAUGACAAUGAAAAUGUCCAGCUCAUGUUUGAUCGCCUCACUGAUAUCACAAAUGAGCUUCAGGCUCUUGGCGCCACUGAGAUUACCAAGCAUGAAAUCAUCAAGACACUACUGAGAUCACUUGACAACUCCUUUGACACCCUUGCCCUCAUGAUACAAGAACGCCCUGACUUCAAGACACUCGAUCCGUAUGAUAUACUUGAGUGGCUCAACACACAUGAGUUCCAUCUUUCUGAGAAAAGAGAUAUCUAUGGUCCCAAUUAUGGCCGAACUCGUGCUUUGAAGGCAAAAGUGGUUUCCUCAUCUGAAGAAGAAUCUGACUGCGGUUCUGAUGAUCUUGAAGACAUUGGAAAGGAACUUGCCAUGCUUGUGAAGAAGUUCUAGAAGUUCACCAAGAAGAAGGUCUUCAGAAAGUCUUCACGAUCUAGCUCAAGAAAUGAUGAAGCUUCCACUCAUGACAACAAGAAGAGAACAUGUCACAAGUGCAAGAAACCUGGACACUAUAUCUCUGAGUGUCCUCAGUGGGACAAUGAGAAGAAGAAGAAAAAGAGCAAGGAAUAUGAUUCUGAUUACAAGAAGAAGAAGAAAUCUUCAAAGUCUUCUUCUAAGUCCUCAUCAAGGUCUUCAUCACAUAAGAAGAGCUCAUGUGGCAAGGCUCGUGAUUUUGUUAGCAAGGAAAUGGAUUCAGAGGAGGAGUCUGCUUCUGAGGAGGUGAAGGUGGAGUCUGAAGAAGAGUCCGACCCUGGCGUUGCAAGUCUGGCUCUAGCCACAGCCUAUGUUACCAAGUCCAUCUUCAACACUGAAGACAAUGACCUCCACACCAA